AAACAGACAGGUUUGGUCCUGGCCUUUCUAUUAACUCUUAGCAAGAUUAUACAUGCAAGUAUCCCCAUCCCAGUGAAAACACCCUCUAAAUCACCACGACCAAAAGGAGUAAGUAUCAAGCACGCACAAUGCAACUCAAAACACUUUGCUCAGCCACACCCCCAUGGGAGACAGCAGUGACAAACCUUUAGCAAUAAACGAAAGUUUAACUAAGCUAUGCUAUAUCCAGGGUUGGUUAAUUUCACGCCAGCCACUGCGGCCAUACGAUUAACCCAAGCUAAUAGAGACCGGCGUAAAGAGUGUUUUAGAUCUAUUUCAAUAAAGCUAAACUCCAUCUAAACUGUAAAAAACCCCAGCUGAUGUAAAAUAAACUACAAAAGUGGCUUUAAAAUUUCUGAACACACAAUAGCUAAGACUCAAACUGGGAUUAGAUACCCCACUAUGCUUAGCCUUAAACUUCAAUAGUUAAAACAACAAAAUUACUCACCAGAAUACUACAAGCAACAGCUUAAAACUCAAAGGACUUGGCGGUGCUUCAUAUCCCUCUAGAGGAGCCUGUUCUAUAAUCAAUAAACCCCGAUUCACCUCACCAUCUCUUGCCCAGCCUAUAUACCGCCAUCCUCAGCAAACCCUAAUAAAGGCCACAAAGUAAGCAUAAAUGUCCCCGCAAAAACGUUAGGUCAAGGUGUAUCUUGUGAGGUGGUAAGAAAUGGGCUACAUUUUCUAUCUCAGAAAACCCACGAUGACUCUUAUGAAACCUAAGAGCCCAAGGAGGAUUUAGCAGUAAAUUAAGAAUAGAGUGCUUAAUUGAAUAAGGCCAUAAAGCACGCACACACCACCCAUCACCCUCCUC
rnacentral:ncRNA from 1 species